CCUAUGGACGAUCUUAUCAGUUGUGCUAGUAUGUACAUUAACUGGAUCUUCUAAAAGUUACUACAAUGGAUACAUGGAUUGUUCUACUUCUCAUGAUUUUGGUGAAAUAACAAAUGUAACAUCAAAUACAUUUGGAAAAACAGUUAAGCCAGGACAAAACUACAUUAUCAGAGGAAUCAUAAAAUUAAAGAAAGAAUUGAAAUGGGGUACGCUCCAUCAAACAAUGACACAUCAAUUCAAAAAUAUCAUAAAUCUUGCUAUUGAAG
rnacentral:misc_RNA from 1 species